AGCGAACGCUGGCGGCAGGCCUAACACAUGCAAGUCGAACGGAUCCUUCGGGAUUAGUGGCGGACGGGUGAGUAACACGUGGGAACGUGCCCUUUGGUUCGGAACAACUCAGGGAAACUUGAGCUAAUACCGGAUGUGCCCUUCGGGGGAAAGAUUUAUCGCCAUUGGAGCGGCCCGCGUAUGAUUAGCUAGUUGGUGAGGUAACGGCCCACCAAGGCGACGAUCAGUAGCUGGUCUGAGAGGAUGAUCAGCCACACUGGGACUGAGACACGGCCCAGACUCCUACGGGAGGCAGCAGUGGGGAAUCUUGCACAAUGGGCGAAAGCCUGACGCAGCCAUGCCGCGUGAAUGAUGAAGGUCUUAGGAUUGUAAAAUUCUUUCAGCGGGGACGAUAAUGACGGUACCCGCAGAAGAAGCUCCGGCUAACUUCGUG
rnacentral:rRNA from 1 species